GACGAACGCUGGCGGCGUGCCUAAUACAUGCAAGUCGAACGAGAGCGACCGGUGCUUGCACUGGUCAAUCUAGUGGCGAACGGGUGAGUAACACGUGGGUAACCUGCCCAUCAGAGGGGGAUAACAUCCGGAAACGGAUUCUAAAACCGCAUAGGUCUUCGAUCCGCAUGGCUUGAAGAGGAAAAGAGGCGCAAGCUUUUGCUGAUGGAUGUACCCGCGGUGCAUUAGCUAGUUGGUGAGGUAACGGCUCACCAAGGCCGUGAUGCAUAGCCGACCUGAGAGGGUGAUCGGCCACAUUGGGACUGAGACACGGCCCAAACUCCUACGGGAGGCAGCAGUAGGGAAUCUUCCGCAAUGGACGGAAGUCUGACGGAGCAACGCCGCGUGAGUGAAGAAGGUUUUCGGAUCGUAAAACUCUGUUGUUAGAGAAGAACAAGUGCUAGAGUAACUGUUAGCGCCUUGACGGUAUCUAACCAGAAAGCCACGGCUAACUACGUG
rnacentral:rRNA from 1 species